GUAGAGACUAGAAUCACACCCUUACAUGGCACCUAGUGUGCUUGAGUUCUCAGAGAUAACCUGCUGGUCUUGAUUCUCUGGUGGGUGCGGUCAGUGCCCUAUUGGGGUCCUAAAAGCUUAC
rnacentral:snoRNA from 1 species